AACUCACAGAAAGAGCGGACCAAGACGACGGGAACUGCACAGGGCACUGAGAGCUGCAGACACCCAAGAUACUGUCAGAGACGGAAAAAGGGGUUUGUUCCAGAUCCUACUGCUCAGCACACAGAAAGCCAGUCACUGAGACGAUGGUUACUGCCAGUGAAGAAGGUGUGCAUCAGGAGCUGCAGGCUAGGAGAUGGGAGAUGCCGUGAUCUGCUGAGUCUCUGUUCCUUCACACUACCUGGGAGGCCUGAUGGUCAGUUUCCUGAGACAGGAACUCAAAUAAGACACGUCACGUUCUCAAGUUUCAAGACCACAAGGAUCCAUUUCGAUGUUAUUCAGAGAAACCAUGAACAUCAGUUCUCUGGGACAAUCAGAUGCACCUGGUGUCACUGUUCGCACAAACCCGAGUGGGAAGAGAUCCAAAUGCUCGUUCACGGCAGAUGGAUGAGGGCGUCCCAGCAAGUCCCUCAGGGGAGUCAGCCAGCGCAAGGACGACGCCCUACCUGGAGCACCCGUUCCUGUGGCGCCCCCAGUCCUGCACUGCAGCGCUCACCCUGUCACCUCCAUGGCGAGACCAUCCUGGAACCGUGA
rnacentral:lncRNA from 1 species